GACGAACGCUGGCGGCGUGCCUAACACAUGCAAGUCGAGCGGAGACAGUGAGUAGCUUGCUAUGAGCUGUUUUAGCGGCGGACGGGUGAGUAACGCGUGAGCAACCUUUCCCAGACAGGGGAAUAACACACCGAAAGGUGUACUAAUACCGCAUAAGACCACGGGAUCACAUGGUGCUGAGGUAAAAGAUUUAUCGGUUUGGGGUGGGCUCGCGUCCGAUUAGGUAGUUGGUGAGGUAACGGCCCACCAAGCCGACGAUCGGUAGCCGACCUGAGAGGGUGAUCGGCCACAUCGGGACUGAGACACGGCCCAAACUCCUACGGGAGGCAGCAGUGGGGAAUAUUGGGCAAUGGAGGAAACUCUGACCCAGCAACGCCGCGUGGAGGAAGAAGGUUUUCGGAUCGUAAACUCCUGUCCUUGGAGACGAGUGGAAGACGGUAUCCAAGGAGGAAGCCCCGGCUAACUACGUGCCAGCCGCCGCCGUAA
rnacentral:rRNA from 1 species